rnacentral:rRNA from 1 species
CACGUAGGGGGCGAGCGUUGUCCGGAAUCAUUGGGCGUAAAGAGCUCGUAGGCGGCUCAAUAAGUCGGGUGUGAAACCCCCAGGCUCAACCUGGGGACGCCACCCGAUACUGUUGUGGCUAGAGUCCAGUGGGGGAGUGUGGAAUUCCCGGUGUAGCGGUGAAAUGCGCAGAUAUCGGGAGGAACACCAGCGGCGAAGGCGGCACUCUGGGCUGGUACUGACGCUGAGGAGCGAAAGCGUGGGUAGCAAACAGG